CACCUUAGUGAGAUUGAGUUGUGUCACUUCGAGUUGCUGUCGUCUUUAUCUUCAGAGUCGGAGGUUUAUUUUCCUUGUACCAGAUUUAAAGCAUCUGUUUGGAGCAGGUUCUUAUUUAUCGCUUUUAUUUAUUUAUUUACUUGUCUCACUUUUAUUUAUUUAUUUACUUGUCUCGCUUUUAUUUAUUUAUUUAUUUACUUGCCUCG
rnacentral:lncRNA from 1 species